rnacentral:rRNA from 1 species
GAUGAACGCUGGCGGCGUGCCUAAUACAUGCAAGUCGAGCAAACGGACGAGAAGCUUGCUUCUCUGAUGUUAGCGGCGGACGGGUGAGUAACACAUGGAUAACCUACCUAUAAGACUGGGAUAACUUCGGGAAACCGGAGCUAAUACCGGAUAAUAUUUUGAACCGCAUGGUUCAAAAGUGAAAGACGGUCUUGCUGUCACUUAUAGAUGGAUCCGCGCUGCAUUAGCUAGUUGGUAAGGUAACGGCUUACCAAGGCAACGAUGCAUAGCCGACCUGAGAGGGUGAUCGGCCACACUGGAACUGAGACACGGUCCAGACUCCUACGGGAGGCAGCAGUAGGGAAUCUUCCGCAAUGGGCGAAAGCCUGACGGAGCAACGCCGCGUGAGUGAUGAAGGUCUUCGGAUCGUAAAACUCUGUUAUUAGGGAAGAACAUAUGUGUAAGUAACUGUGCACAUCUUGACGGUACCUAAUCAGAAAGCCACGGCUAACUACGUG